rnacentral:rRNA from 1 species
GCUUACGGCCACACCGCCUGGUUCAUGCCCGAUCUCAUUUGAUCUCGGAAGCUAAGAUAGGUUGGGCCUGGUUAGUACUUGGAUGGGAGACCGCCUGGGAAUACCAGGUGCUGUAAGGC